rnacentral:rRNA from 1 species
GGGCCCGCACAAGCGGUGGAGCAUGUGGUUUAAUUCGAUGAUACGCGAGGAACCUUACCAGGGCUUAAAUGUAGGAUGCAUUAGCUAGAGAUAGCUAUUUCUUCGGACUUCUUACAAGGUGCUGCAUGGUUGUCGUCAGCUCGUGCCGUGAGGUGUCAGGUUAAGUCCUAUAACGAGCGCAACCCCUGUCGUUAGUUGCCAGCAUGUAAAGAUGGGGACUCUAACGAGACUGCCGGUGUAAACCGCGAGGAAGGUGGGGAUGACGUCAAAUCAUCACGGCCCUUACGUCCUGGGCUACACACGUGCUACAAUGGUAUGGACAAUGAGCAGCCACUAUGCGAAUAGGAGCGAAUCUACAAACCAUAUCACAGUUCGGAUCGGAGUCUGCAACUCGACUCCGUG